rnacentral:misc_RNA from 1 species
GAUGAAGAACGCAGCGAAAUGCGAUAAGUAAUGUGAAUUGCAGAAUUCAGUGAAUCAUCGAAUCUUUGAACGCACAUUGCGCCCGCCAGCAUUCUGGCGGGCAUGCCUGUUCGAGCGUCAUUUCAACCCUCGACUUCCCUUUGGGGAAAUCGGCGUUGGGGACCGGCCGUAUACCGCCGGCCCCGAAAUGAAGUGGCGGCCCGUCCGCGGCGACCUCUGCGUAGUAAUCCAACUCGCACCGGAACCCCGACGUGGCCACGCCGUAAAACCCCCGACUUCUGAACGUUGACCUCGGAUCAGGUAGGAAUACCCGCUGAACUUAAGCAUAUCAUAAGCGGAGGA